rnacentral:rRNA from 1 species
UGCCAGCCGCCGCGGUAAUACGUAGGGACCAAGCGUUGUCCGGAAUUAUUGGGCGUAAAGAGCUCGUAGGCGGUUCGGUAAGUCGGGUGUGAAAAUCCAGGGCUCAACCCUGGGACGCCACCCGAUACUGCUGUGACUAGAGUCCGGUAGAGGAGCGUGGAGUUCCUGGUGUAGCGGUGAAAUGCGCAGAUAUCAGGAGGAACACCAGCGGCGAAGGCGGCGCUCUGGGCCGGUACUGACGCUGAGGCGCGAAAGCUAGGGGAGCGAAUGGGAUUAGAUA